rnacentral:rRNA from 1 species
GGUGCUGCAUGGCUGUCGUCAGCUCGUGUCGUGAGAUGUUGGGUUAAGUCCCGCAACGAGCGCAACCCUCAUCCUUAGUUACCAUCAGGUAAUGCUGGGGACUUUAAGGAAACUGCCAGUGAUAAACUGGAGGAAGGUGGGGAUGAUGUCAAGUCAUCAUGGCCCUUAUGGAGUGGGCUACACACGUGCUACAAUGGUGGCUACAAUGGGCUGCAAAGUCGCGAGGCUAAGCUAAUCCCUUAAAAGCCAUCUCAGUUCGGAUUGUACUCUGCAACUCGAGUGCAUGAAGUUGGAAUCGCUAGUAAUCGUGGAUCAGCACGCCACGGUGAAUACGUUCCCGGGUCUUGUACACAC